CGAAAUAUCGAAGAAAUUUCCAGAAACAUCUAAUUUAUACUCGAUUUUGUCAAGAAACUAUAGUAAAUCUAUGUAUUUUGUUUUGAUGACUUCCCGGUUUGACGUCACACCGGCAUUCUCGCCCCAGUACUUUUAUGCUGGCGGCCAAACGCUCAAAAUAGGCAAAAUCGCCAACUUUGAGCCCCCGAAAGUCCAUGAAGAUCAAAUUUUCGAAUUAUAAAAUAUAUUGCAAAAGUUCUUAAAAUCAUCUAAACUAUCUAAA